UGGUUAAUUAUUUCAAAAGAUGAAUUCCAUGAAAUAAAAUAAAAAUAGACUCCCUGUCCAGAGGGAAAGUGAGAAAAAAAGGGGGAGACAUGAGGAAUGGUCCCCUCUAAAAAGGAUGUGGAUGUUUCAAGUAGUGAGUGAGGACAUGGGAUGGAGGCAGACGCUGGGCACCUGUCACAUGGCCAGGAGAGAAAAAGACAGCAGGUAGGGAGGGUGCCAGCAGGGAGGCCAGUGAGGGAGCUGUGAUUGCUCGGGACACGGUGGCACCUUGGACAAGGGAGGAGGUUGGUAAUCGAGUGACGUGAUUGAGUCUGAAAGUGUCUAGUAAGCAUUGCAUUGACAAGCGUUAGUUCAACUUGAGGCAUGGAGAUGAGGGAAGAGGCAAGGUGGGAUUUUUAUUUAAGGGACAGCUGGACUGGGGUGCCUUUUGCUGAAGUUCUUGAUGAAGUUCAAUAAAGAACCACUUUCUUCCCCAUCUGAGUUCUGAUCAAUUUAAGAAAUAAGGCCAAGGCUGACGAAGGCCAGAUGCCUCCUUGCUUCCUGAUGAAAGCCAGGUGAGGGAGUAUAUUUAUGGGUGAGAGUCAAACAGAUCUGUAAGCCAAACCCCAGAAGAAGGUCCAUGCGCCCCUGGGAAGUGCUGACAUGGGCAGCUGGCCCAGGAAGCAGGGCAGAGAAGAGCAUCAGAGAAGUCCUACUCUCUGUUGGCAGCUUGCUCACAGAGGAUUAAAGGGCAGACUGAGCCCAGUUGAUUCUUCCCCAAACUAUCAGUCAGAAAAGUCACUCUGCCUCCUCUCGGGUAGGAGAGGGAAGGAAGGGAGGGAGCCAGGAGGUAGACUCACUAAAGCAUGAGGAAGGCAGCAUUUGGCAUCACCCCAAAACACCUUGCACAGAAAUAUGGCAGCCAGGGCAACAAGCAGGCUUUGGGGAGGGCGACAGACUCAGUGUUGGCUGCGGGAGACCCAGUCCAGAGGAGCCUCUGGGAGGUCUGCUGAAUGAAUCAAUCACUGAUGGAGAGGAGGAAGCUAGUCCUUCCCUUCUCAGCAGUGGGAAUUACCCUCCGGAAUUAGAUGAGUCUCUCACUGAACACAGAGCUGCUUGCCCCACCACAGAUAGGGGCGUGGGUUCACACCUCCAUUUCUUCUCCAACUCAGGCAUGGCCUCAGCCAGGGGAGUUAGAUCAGCAUUGUUGUGUGGCGGGUGGCAAGUCCUGUGUCCUGGUGUGGUGAAAUGGUAGAAACUGUUUUCAUGAAGGUGGCAGGAGCUGUGAGCCAGCUGGCCUGGGAGGGUGCAGGUGUCCUUCUUAGGGAACUCUGCUCCUUUGUUAAGGCAGCAUCCUAUGGGCCAGUUUGGUCAAGGAAGGCCUCUGGGCAGGGCCCUGGGGGAAGGAGGUCAGACAGUGAAGUGCCUCAGAAGGAAUUCAGAAUGGCUCAGGGGUGCUGAUAAGGAGGGGCUAGAAGAGAAGAGUCUAGAGAGGGGUCCCCCUGUGAUGGAGAAGAUGGCAUAGAACGGCGGGAGGGCCAGCAGGGACCACAACCAACUUUCAUGAGAAACUGCUUCCUGUGCACUCAAUGGCCUUGUGUGGGCCAUUCUUCGGGGAAUGAAGGAAGAAGGUUGGCAGUGCCAGGGCACGUUGCUGUGCCCAGCAGCCUGGGGAGCCGUGGCCUAUGAGGGAGCUGGGCACGAAGACAUGGAGCCAUUGGAGAAACAGGCUGCAGUAUGGGCUUGAGACAAGCCACAUCGCCAAACAGAGUGAAAGAAAGUGACAAGGUGGCUGUGACCGGGCAGAGGCAGGAGGGGAACUCGGUCCUGCUCUUCAUGGAGUGGGGGUGGUCGUUUUGUUUAGAUAUUAAAGUUAAAGCUGACCCCAGGGCCCUAAAGGCCUCAGAGGCCAACAGAUGGCACUAAUCAUGAGUCACGUGCCUGACUGUUUAGGGUCAUGGCUAUGAUGACAUCAUUUCCCCUCGCUGGCCUCCUUGACUU
ensembl:lncRNA